rnacentral:rRNA from 1 species
GAUGAACGCUAGCGGCAGGCCUAAUACAUGCAAGUCGAACGGUAAGGCCCUUUCGGGGGUACACGAGUGGCGGACGGGUGCGUAACGCGUAUGCAACAUGCCUUCCAGCGGGGGAUAUACCAGGGAAACUUGGCGCAAUACCCCAUAGAAUUACGGGACCGCAUGGUCUUGUGAUUAAAACUCCGGUGCUGGGAGAUUGGCAUGCGUGACAUUAGCUAGUUGGCGGGGUAACGGCCCACCAAGGCGACGAUGUCUAGCUGGUCUGAGAGGAUGAUCAGCCACACUGGGACUGAGACACGGCCCAGACUCCUACGGGAGGCAGCAGUGGGGAAUUUUGGACAAUGGGGGCAACCCUGAUCCAGCCAUUCCGCGUGAGUGAAGAAGGCCUGG